GAUGAAGAACGUAGCGAAAUGCGAUAAGUAAUGUGAAUUGCAGAAUUCAGUGAACCAUCGAAUCUUUGAACGCACAUUGCGCCCGCCAGCACUCUGGCGGGCAUGCCUGUUCGAGCGUCAUUACAACCCUCAGGCCCCCGGGCCUGGCGUUGGGGAUCGGCGGAAGCCCCCUGCGGGCACAACGCCGUCCCCCAAAUACAGUGGCGGUCCCGCCGCAGCUUCCAUUGCGUAGUAGCUAACACCUCGCAACUGGAGAGCGGCGCGGCCACGCCGUAAAACACCCAACUUCUGAAUGUUGACCUCGAAUCAGGUAGGAAUACCCGCUGAACUUAAGCAUAUCAAUAAGCGGAGGA
rnacentral:misc_RNA from 1 species